CUGAGAAUAUACAUGAAUCUAGCUAUUCUCCCAAAUGUCAACAACCUCAAAACAAAUCAAUCGAGCAAUAAACUUGCUCGCCACUCCAUUUACUGCUUUAAAACUUAUAAACCAUUUAAUCUAGAUUUAUUUGUAAUCCUAGAGUCUGUGUGGAUUCGAUCCCUAAGUACUACAUCUGAACCUCUUAUUUGAGAGAGUAAUUCACUCCUUAGGAUAAUUUGAGUGAUAUCAUUAAUCACCACCAAACCACAAAUCCUGAUUUUUUUUCUUUUUGAAUUUUUUUUUUUUCCAGAGACAAAUGUGCUUAGCUGGACAGAGUGGAAAUUUACAAUGUAUCUAUAAUUAUUUUUUAAAAGAAAAUGUGUCUAUUGUUAUUUGUAUAUAGAAUUUUCUCUUCACUUGUAAAUCAAAUUCUUUUCUAUGAUUUAGAGGGAACUUGUGCUUUAAACAUUUAUUUAAUUUUCCUAUUUAUGCAGGACAUAGACGUGGUGAUAAGAAUCAUGUGGAUAAAUUAGAUGUUGAAAUACAUGGUUGUACAAUUCACAUGUGGUUUGCACAUCUUUUUUUUGUCAAUUUUCGGGCCACAACAGGCCGGCCCGAUAGCCCUUAAGUUCCCACAAAGGGGGAAGCGUUAGCUAGGAGGCGUAAAGGAGGCGAACCUCUAACGCCAAGGUCCCUAAGGGACUCUCACUAGCCACUGGGCUAUGAACAACUCGGCACAUGUGGU
rnacentral:lncRNA from 1 species